rnacentral:rRNA from 1 species
GUGCCAGCCGCCGCGGUAAUACCGGCAGCCCGAGUGAUGGCCGAUCUUAUUGGGCCUAAAGCGUCCGUAGCUGGCUGCGCAAGUCCGUCGGGAAAUCCACUCGCCCAACGAGUGGGCGCCCGGUGGAAACUGUGCGGCUUGGGACCGGAAGGCGCGACGGGUACGUCCGGGGUAGGAGUGAAAUCCCGUAAUCCUGGACGGACCGCCGAUGGCGAAAGCACGUCGCGAGAACGGAUCCGACAGUGAGGGACGAAAGCCAGGGUCUCCAACCGGAUUAGAUACCCUAGUAGUCC